UUAACUAUGAUUAUUUCAUGAUUGACUCGGUUUUCUUUGAUGUACCGCGGGCUGUAUAUAGCAUAAUGCCCUUGAAUACCAUACAGCCCUAAUUAGUCAAGAAAUAAGCGAGAAAACUAGAAAAAUACUUGUCGAAAUCGAAAAAAAAGAAUAAAACUUUGUUAGAAAACCUCUUCAAUCAUGAAAUAAGUCAGUUAAUUACCUCGAAUGUCGGGCUUUAUGCUAUAUAAAGCCCUCGAACGCUUCGCGUUCUCGGGGCUGUAUAUAGCAUGAAGCCCUCCUUCUCGGUAAUUAACUCUUACUUAUUGCAUGG